UACGUAGGGUGCAAGCGUUGUCCGGAAUUAUUGGGCGUAAAGAGCUCGUAGGCGGUCUGUCGCGUCUGCUGUGAAAACUCAGGGCUUAACCCUGAGCUUGCAGUGGGUACGGGCAGACUAGAGUGCGGUAGGGGAGACUGGAAUUCCUGGUGUAGCGGUGAAAUGCGCAGAUAUCAGGAGGAACACCGGUGGCGAAGGCGGGUCUCUGGGCCGUAACUGACGCUGGAGGAGCGAAAGCGUCGGGAGCGAACAGG
rnacentral:rRNA from 1 species